CUCGAAGCACGUUAUCAGAGGAACAGAUGGUUGGUGUCCCUCCUGGUCGAAGGUAUUUCUGGUUGUCAUGUGGUUAUUCUAUAAAUAAACCCUACUGAGAGGCAAUGGAAGUGUUAUGGGAGGAGUAAUGUCAGCAUCAUGGCAGAGUGAGCUCUCCUUGUAAACUCUCCCCUCUGAGAUACUAUGAAAAGGACAUUCAUAUUCCAACAGAGGACAUUGAUACAAGACAGAAAAUGUCUGAAAAACUCACACAGCCAUACCUUAGAAGAUGGAAAUGCUGGAGACCCCCUCCUCCAACGAAGUGGAAUGAGACAACAUUCUAUACAACAGAUUUGCUGUUGAAGUCCUAGAAGGGGGUACCGACAUGGAGGUACUGAGCAGAGGAAGAAAGAUUAUGAUCAUCACUGUGUAAGCAUGAGCACCAUCUGGAUGGGAC
rnacentral:lncRNA from 1 species